GUGGGGAAUAUUGCACAAUGGGCGCAAGCCUGAUGCAGCAACGCCGCGUGAGGGAUGACGGCCUUCGGGUUGUAAACCUCUUUUAGUAGGGAAGAAGCGAAAGUGACGGUACCUGCAGAAAAAGCACCGGCUAACUACGUGCCAGCAGCCGCGGUAAUACGUAGGGUGCAAGCGUUGUCCGGAAUUAUUGGGCGUAAAGAGCUCGUAGGCGGCUUGUCGCGUCUGCUGUGAAAUCCCGGGGCUCAACCCCGGGCCUGCAGUGGGUACGGGCAGGCUAGAGUGCGGUAGGGGAGAUUGGAAUUCCUGGUGUAGCGGUGGAAUGCGCAGAUAUCAGGAGGAACACCGAUGGCGAAGGCAGAUCUCUGGGCCGCUACUGACGCUGAGGAGCGAAAGCAUGGGGAGCGAACAGGAUUAGAUACCCGAGUAGUCC
rnacentral:rRNA from 1 species